UACGGGGGGGGCAAGCGUUGUUCGGAAUUACUGGGCGUAAAGGGUUCGUAGGCGGCCAACUAAGUCAGACGUGAAAUCCCUCAGCUUAACUGGGGAACUGCGUCUGAUACUGGAUGGCUUGGAUUCGGGAGAGGAAUGCGGAAUUCCAGGUGUAGCGGUGAAAUGCGUAGAUAUCUGGAGGAACACCGGUGGCGAAGGCGGCAUUCUGGACCGAUAUUGACGCUGAGGAGCGAAAGCAAGGGGAGCAAACGGG
rnacentral:rRNA from 1 species